rnacentral:rRNA from 1 species
GAUCCUGGCUCAGAUUGAACGCUGGCGGCAGGCCUAACACAUGCAAGUCGAGCGGCAGCGGGAAAGUAGCUUGCUACUUUUGCCGGCGAGCGGCGGACGGGUGAGUAAUGCCUGGGAAAUUGCCCAGUCGAGGGGGAUAACAGUUGGAAACGACUGCUAAUACCGCAUACGCCCUACGGGGAAAGCAGGGGACCUUCGGGCCUUGCGCGAUUUGAUAUGCCCACGGUGGGAUUAGCUAGUUGGUGAGG